CAGGCUCCUCUACCUGCAGUGGUCUUCCAGAGGGCAAGUGAGCAGCGUUGAUGCUGAGGUUGUUUUCCAGCAUUGCAGGCAAGGAGUAAUAAUUUCCACAUAGGAUGCCAUGACAGAAGUACAUGUUUAGCACUCUGGGAGUGCUCCAAGAUGGCUGAGCAGAAUAGGCUAAGAGAUUCCAAGAAAACCAGUCAUCAGCAGAGGAAGAUGCCCA
rnacentral:lncRNA from 1 species